UACGUAGGGUGCGAGCGUUGUCCGGAAUUAUUGGGCGUAAAGAGCUUGUAGGCGGUCUGUCGCGUCUGCUGUGAAAAUCCAGGGCUUAACCCUGGACCUGCAGUGGGUACGGGCAGGCUGGAGGCUGGUAGGGGCAAGCGGAAUUCCUGGUGUAGCGGUGAAAUGCGCAGAUAUCAGGAGGAACACCGGUGGCGAAGGCGGGUCUCUGGGCCGAUACUGACGCUGAGGAGCGAAAGCGUGGGGAGCAAACAGG
rnacentral:rRNA from 1 species